rfam:Schistosoma rodhaini strain Burundi genome assembly, scaffold: SROB_scaffold0003577
AUCGAGCUGACGAGUCCUAAAUAGGACGAAACGCGCGUCCUGGAU